UUAAGCGACUAAGCGUACACGGUGGAUGCCUAGGCAGUCAGAGGCGAUGAAGGGCGUGCUAAUCUGCGAAAAGCGUCGGUAAGGUGAUAUGAACCGUUACAACCGACGAUACCCGAAUGGGGAAACCCAGUGCAAUUCGUUGCACUAUUGCAUGGUGAAUACAUAGCCAUGCAAGGCGAACCGGGGGAACUGAAACAUCUAAGUACCCCGAGGAAAAGAAAUCAACCGAGAUUCCCCCAGUAGCGGCGAGCGAACGGGGAGGAGCCCAGAACCUGAAUCAGCAUAUGUGUUAGUGGAAGCGUCUGGAAAGUCGCACGGUACAGGGUGAUAGUCCCGUACACAAAAAUGCAUAUGUUGUGAGUUCGAUGAGUAGGGCGGGACACGUGACAUCCUGUCUGAAUAUGGGGGGACCAUCCUCCAAGGCUAAAUACUCCUGACUGACCGAUAGUGAACCAGUACCGUGAGGGAAAGGCGAAAAGAACCCCGGCGAGGGGAGUGAAAUAGAACCUGAAACCGUGUACGUACAAGCAGUGGGAGCACCUUCGUGGUGUGACUGCGUACCUUUUGUAUAAUGGGUCAGCGACUUAUAUUUUGUAGCAAGGUUAACCGAAUAGGGGAGCCGUAGGGAAACCGAGUCUUAACUGGGCGAAUAGUUGCAAGGUAUAGACCCGAAACCCGGUGAUCUAGCCAUGGGCAGGUUGAAGGUUGGGUAACACUAACUGGAGGACCGAACCGACUAAUGUUGAAAAAUUAGCGGAUGACUUGUGGCUGGGGGUGAAAGGCCAAUCAAACCGGGAGAUAGCUGGUUCUCCCCGAAAGCUAUUUAGGUAGCGCCUCGUGAACUCAUCUUCGGGGGUAGAGCACUGUUUCGGCUAGGGGGUCAUCCCGACUUACCAAACCGAUGCAAACUCCGAAUACCGAAGAAUGUUAUCACGGGAGACACACGGCGGGUGCUAACGUCCGUCGUGAAGAGGGAAACAACCCAGACCGCCAGCUAAGGUCCCAAAGUCAUGGUUAAGUGGGAAACGAUGUGGGAAGGCAUAGACAGCCAGGAUGUUGGCUUAGAAGCAGCCAUCAUUUAAAGAAAGCGUAAUAGCUCACUGGUCGAGUCGGCCUGCGCGGAAGAUGUAACGGGGCUAAACCAUGCACCGAAGCUGCGGCAGCGACGCUUAGGCGUUGUUGGGUAGGGGAGCGUUCUGUAAGCCGUUGAAGGUGACCUGUGAGGGUUGCUGGAGGUAUCAGAAGUGCGAAUGCUGACAUAAGUAACGAUAAUGCGGGUGAAAAACCCGCACGCCGGAAGACCAAGGGUUCCUGUCCAACGUUAAUCGGGGCAGGGUGAGUCGACCCCUAAGGCGAGGCUGAAAAGCGUAGUCGAUGGGAAACAGGUUAAUAUUCCUGUACUUGGUGUUACUGCGAAGGGGGGACGGAGAAGGCUAGGCUAGCCGGGCGACGGUUGUCCCGGUUUAAGCAUGUAGGCGGAGUGACUUGGUAAAUCCGGUUGCUUAUCAACGCUGAGGUGUGAUGACGAGUCACUACGGUGAUGAAGUAGUUGAUGCCAAGCUUCCAGGAAAAGCCUCUAAGCAUCAGGUAACAUUAAAUCGUACCCCAAACCGACACAGGUGGUCAGGUAGAGAAUACUCAGGCGCUUGAGAGAACUCGGGUGAAGGAACUAGGCAAAAUGGUGCCGUAACUUCGGGAGAAGGCACGCUGGCAUUAGGUAAAGAGACUUGCUCUCGGCGCCGAAGCCAGUCGCAGAUACCAGCUGGCUGCAACUGUUUAAUAAAAACACAGCACUGUGCAAACACGAAAGUGGACGUAUACGGUGUGACGCCUGCCCGGUGCUGGAAGGUUAAUUGAUGGGGUCAGCCGCAAGGCGAAGCUCUUGAUCGAAGCCCCAGUAAACGGCGGCCGUAACUAUAACGGUCCUAAGGUAGCGAAAUUCCUUGUCGGGUAAGUUCCGACCUGCACGAAUGGCGUAAUGAUGGCCAGGCUGUCUCCACCCGAGACUCAGUGAAAUUGAACUCGCUGUGAAGAUGCAGUGUACCCGCGGCAAGACGGAAAGACCCCGUGAACCUUUACUAUAGCUUGACACUGAACAUUGAGCCUUGAUGUGUAGGAUAGGUGGGAGGCAUUGAAGUGUGGACGCCAGUCUGCAUGGAGCCAACCUUGAAAUACCACCCUUUAAUGUUUGAUGUUCUAACUCGGCCCCAUAAUCUGGGGUGAGGACAGUGUCUGGUGGGUAGUUUGACUGGGGCGGUCUCCUCCCAAAGAGUAACGGAGGAGCACGAAGGUUAGCUAAUCACGGUCGGACAUCGUGAGGUUAGUGCAAAGGCAUAAGCUAGCUUGACUGCGAGAGUGACGGCUCGAGCAGGUACGAAAGUAGGUCUUAGUGAUCCGGUGGUUCUGAAUGGAAGGGCCAUCGCUCAACGGAUAAAAGGUACUCCGGGGAUAACAGGCUGAUACCGCCCAAGAGUUCAUAUCGACGGCGGUGUUUGGCACCUCGAUGUCGGCUCAUCACAUCCUGGGGCUGAAGUAGGUCCCAAGGGUAUGGCUGUUCGCCAUUUAAAGUGGUACGCGAGCUGGGUUUAGAACGUCGUGAGACAGUUCGGUCCCUAUCUGCCGUGGGCGUUGGAAGAUUGAGAGGGGCUGCUCCUAGUACGAGAGGACCGGAGUGGACGAAUCACUGGUGUUCGGGUUGUCAUGCCAAUGGCAUUGCCCGGUAGCUAAAUUCGGAAGAGAUAACCGCUGAAAGCAUCUAAGCGGGAAACUUGCCUCGAGAUGAGUCUUCCCUGGGGCUUUAAGCCCCCUGAAGGAACGUUAAAGACUAUGACGUUGAUAGGCUGGGUGUGUAAGUGCAGCGAUGCAUUGAGCUAACCAGUACUAAUGAUCCGUGAGGCUUAACCUU
rnacentral:rRNA from 1 species